CAGCCGCCGCGGGAAAACGGAGGGGGCUAGCGUUGUUCGGAAUUACUGGGCGUAAAGCGCACGUAGGCGGCUUGGUAAGUUAGAGGUGAAAGCCCGGAGCUCAACUCCGGAAUUGCCUUUAAGACUGCCGAGCUAGUAGGUGAGAGAGGUAAGUGGAAUUCCGAGUGUAGAGGUGGAAUUCGUAGAUAUUCGGAAGAACACCAGUGGCGAAGGCGGCUUACUGGCUCAUUCUAGACGCUGAGGUGCGAAAGCGUGGGGAGCAAACAGGAUUAGAUACCCGAGUAGUCCCUGUCUCUUAUAC
rnacentral:rRNA from 1 species